AAUGAACAGGGAAAAGCCCAGCACCGAAGCCUGUGGUCAUUUGAUCUCUAGGCAAUGUGGUGUUAAGGUUGUUCCACAGAGAUACUGCUCCAUCCUAAGUCCAGCACUGAGUACGGCUAAAGGACAUGGCCCAUAGAGGGUGAAAGGCCCGUAGGGGUGGAGAUUCGAUUGGCCAGUAUCUCUCUGGGUAGACCUUGGAGUCGGGUUGUUUGUGAAUGCAGCCCAAAGUGGGUGGUAAACUCCAUCCAAGGCUAAAUACAAGCACGAGUCCGAUAGCGAACAAGUACCGUGAGGGAAAGUUGAAAAGUACUUUGAAGAGAGAGUAAACAGUGCGUGAAACCGCUCAGAGGUAAACGGGUGGAGUUGAACUGCAAGCUCUGUGAAUUCAGCUGGUGAGCAUGGUUUGGGCUUGGUCAAAUUGGUCGAGCUCCAAAGUCUGCGUAUUAGCAGGUCUUUGCCUUCGGGUAGAGAUGCGCGGUGCACCUACCAAGUGUUGCGCGCUUUGGGGUUCCGGGCCUGCUCGCCAGUGCACUUUUGCAGAGUGUUCACCACGACCGGCAUCGCUGUCUGGCUGUUGUGGUUAAACCGGUCUUGCAUUGUCCUUGUGGCUUUGUUUGGUCGGGACGGCAGGUAGCUCGUUUGUGUUCCGUAGCUUGCUGCGGUCAUUCUCGGGUGUAAUCAGCUGACUACAACGGUUCUGUGCAGUAUGUCGGAGACGGCGGCUUGUGUGUGCGUGCAUGCCGUUCUUGUGGGCUUGCUCGGGUCUGACUGUCAUGUUGCUUGCAUAUGCAAGCCUGAUAGUGGCUCGUGUUUGUUCCAUGGGUGGUUGUGUGCGUGUCACGUUGUGGGCCAAUAGUCUGUGGUGUAGUGGUAGACGAUCCACCUGACCCGUCUUGAAACACGGACCAAGGAGAGUAACAUGUGCGCGAGUCAUUGGGCGUAACGAAACCCAAAGGCGCAGUGAAAGUAAAGGCUUGGCUUGUCCAUGCUGAGGUGAGAUCCUGCCGUUUCUCAUGCGCGGUACUACCAAGCAUCGAGCGGUAGGCGCAUCACCGGCCCGUCCCAUGACGUAGACACAUAGCUUCGUGCCAGUGCACCGUCGGGGCGGAGCAUGAGCGUACAUGUUGAGACCCGAAAGAUGGUGAACUAUGCUUGCGCAGGUUGAAGCCAGAGGAAACUCUGGUGGAGGACCGCAGCGAUUCUGACGUGCAAAUCGAUCGUCAAACGUGAGUAUA
rnacentral:rRNA from 1 species